CCUAGGCAAUGUUUGGAACCGUUUUUAUUUUGUUCUCACUGUUUCCCCAAAAUAAAAUGGGAUUUAUUACACUUUUCAAAUCAUUUUCUCAAAACAAUUUCAAAAGUUUCUCUCUCCUCCAGACAUGAUGUGACUGCUACAGUAAAAUGAUUUGAUUGCUACAGUAAAAAAUGUCUUCACUAAAAAACAAAUAAACAUCACUUCACCUUUCAAUUUUCUUCUUCAAAAAUAUCUUUUUC
rnacentral:lncRNA from 1 species